UAAGAUAUGUUUUAUAAAUUAUUUUGUUUAUGAUACAUCAUAAUGGUUUUGACAUUGACUGCAAAGUCGUAUACAUAUAGAUGUAAUAAAUUCAGGAUGCCAGCCGUGUUCAUGGGUUUGAUAAAACUGCAAACCAGACCAGAACCAGCUCAAAUGAGACCGGUGUGGUUAACCCGAGGCGGGUUGGGUUGGUUUCUCUCUUAAUCCGGACAAGUCAUGGACUAUAUAUGAUCGCGUUGUGGGUAUAACCAUGGAAACCAGCCAAACUGGUCCCCUGCUCCGUGUUUCACUCUAGAAACUAGCAUCCUCCAUGAUCCUAUCGGAAUCGAGUUCUUUGUCUUCCACACCAAAUCGUGCCUCCCUUCCUUUAGUCAUGGCAUUGCUUUAAUAUUUUCACAGCAGAUCCACUUUAUCCCGCUGGAAUCAAACAUGCCCACCCAGAAAUUCAGUCAAGGUUCAAGAUAAGUAUUGUGGAACAAGUUUUGUCGUCUCCUUGUUUUUUCAUUAGAUCGUUUGCGAUGUCAAGCUAGAGUCACUGGAGAAUAAAUUCUUCCUAUUUACUGUGUCUGUCUCAUAUGACUGCUAAAUUGCUAAUGAAGUAGUGACAUUUGACAUGAAUGCAUCUGUCCACUCCAUGAACACUGAUUUUGUCACGACAGCAAGAUUGAAUAAGUGAAUGGGUUCAGUGGCCAUCCUUAAAAUUUAAUCUCUUAUUUCAUUGGAUGCAUACACAGUUCUUAAGGGAGAACCGUAUGCAUCAUAUGUACUUAUUGACUACACCUUUGACUGCAUAUCCUUCCAUGAAAGCUUCCUUUGUAGUGACGAAUUAACCUUUCCUGAUGUGAGACAUAUAAUGCAGAUACAUCAAUAUUAAUAUGAAGGAUUCAAGUUGUCUAAGCCAAUUUAUUUAUUUAUUUAUUGCUAGAAUAUAUCAAAUCAUACA
rnacentral:lncRNA from 1 species